rnacentral:rRNA from 1 species
GACGAACGCUGGCGGCGUGCCUAAUACAUGCAAGUAGAACGCUGAAGGAGGAGCUUGCUCUUCUGGAUGAGUUGCGAACGGGUGAGUAACGCGUAGGUAACCUGCCUGGUAGCGGGGGAUAACUAUUGGAAACGAUAGCUAAUACCGCAUAACAUUGACUAUUGCAUGAUAGUCAAUUGAAAGGUGCAAAUGCACCACUACCAGAUGGACCUGCGUUGUAUUAGCUAGUUGGUGGGGUAACGGCUCACCAAGGCUACGAUACAUAGCCGACCUGAGAGGGUGAUCGGCCACACUGGGACUGAGACACGGCCCAGACUCCUACGGGAGGCAGCAGUAGGGAAUCUUCGGCAAUGGACGGAAGUCUGACCGAGCAACGCCGCGUGAGUGAAGAAGGUUUUCGGAUCGUAAAGCUCUGUUGUAAGAGAAGAACGAGUGUGAGAGUGGAAAGUUCACACUGUGACGGUAUCUUACCAGAAAGGACGGCUAA